rnacentral:sRNA from 1 species
AAGGUGGCUGGCCGGCAGGCCAAUGGCGGCCAACGCUACUUCCGGCCGCCCUCCGAGCAUCGCUCUUCGGCAACCCGAAGCCACAGGAUGGAGGAGGGGGAUCCCAGCAAAGGUAGCGACUAAGGGGACCCAAGCAGAACGGGAGGGCGACGUCCGGAGCGGCGGCAGAGCCAGGGGACGCUGUGUGAGGCUGGCAAAGCGGUGUUCACCUAGUUCUCUCGGGCUCCGCCGCCGCGGGAGGAGGACAGGAGGCCGGCAAGGCGACCCCCAAAUCUUCCUAGGCUCUGACCUCCGUCUCCUAACCCCCGCAACUUCCAACCCGGUCUUGGAAAAUCCCGCGAGAACGGGCUCCCGAAUUGUCAUUGGGAUCUCGCGAGAACGAAAUCUUCCUUUCUGUGGGCGGAGCAAUCUUCCCGAUGUCUCUCCCCUCUGAGGCCUGUAGCAGGAAGGGCCGCGGGAGUUGCGAGUGUCGCGAGGUUUGAGGUCGCUCGGUGGGCCGGGCGCUGUGCGAAGCUAGAAAUAACUGGGGGCAUUGAGAAUGCGGUGGCUGUAAAGGGCCGCUGAGGCGGUGGAGGCCUGGCAGAGGGCGUCCCCGCGGUCGCGGCUUCUGGCUUCUCUGUGGAGCUUGGUUCUUCCGUGGUGGUGCAGCACCCCAGGAACUUCAGGAACCAGUGCUUCCUUGGAGAGCUCCCCGGGACAGCCACGGGGGCCAAGUGAAACUAGCGCGUUUUCUUGGAUCCUACACUUUAUAGUGAAUCAUAAAUACUUUAAAUACAAAGCCAACAUUUGCUGCAAAUAAACGUAAAAAUACUGUUAAAGUGUAAAGUGUUUUCCUCCGUACCGUCUGACGUUUCUGGCGGUUCGUUGAACGCGGGAGAACGCUGAGCCGUCUGCACUGAGCCCGGGAGCAUCUUCAGGGCAGCGCCGCCCACGCGCGAGGUGAAUGAAGGACACGGCCUCUUGACACUCCCAGGCAGCACAGAUAGACGGAUCCUCUACCGCUGAUUGCAGCUGGAAAAGAUUCUGAGGGCUCACCUGAGUAAUCCAGGAUCAUCUUCCCAUUUCCAGGUCUCUGCCCUUGAUCACAUCAGCAGAAUCCUUUUGCCAUUGGCUAGAAGUGACCCCAGGAUUUUUUUAUUAUCAAGAGAGACUAGAAGAAUCAUGAGACUUUUCCUAGUUGCCUUUCAAGAAUACGAAGAAAAAAAUGGUUCUCAAAGUGUGUUUGAAUGAGUAUUGUUCCAAUAAAUGAACUUAUAUUCAUAUUUC